rnacentral:rRNA from 1 species
UAAACCGGCCGAAAGGCUGGCUAAUACUGGAUAGUUCAAGUGCACUGUAAUUGGUGCGAUUGGGAAAGGGAGCGCGCAAGCGCCUUCGUUCUAAGAUGAGCCCGCGUCUGAUUAGCUAGUUGGUGAGGUAAUGGCUCACCAAGGCGAUGAUCAGUAGCUGGUCUGAGAGGAUGAUCAGCCACACUGGAACUGAAACACGGUCCAG